AUAGAAUGUAGAAUGAGAAUAAAUAAAAUCAGGGAAGGAAGAAUGAGAGAAUUACAUAAUUCCAGCAUCACACAAUCACUGCCUCUGUAAUUAGUGCUUACUGAGUCAACAAGUUUAAGCAGCCACAUUUUGAACAGAUUUAUCUUGAAGUUAAAUUCUACUAAAAGCAGCAGAAAUAUUUGUCCUGAUAUAACCCUCUCUUGUCUCUUGGUAAACAGAGGACAACCAAAAAGCCCCAGGGCAGAGAGGUGGGGAUUUGAGAGCCCUUCCCUCACUGCCCAGGAGAGGGAAAGCCCUGCAGCACCAGCAGCAAUUCCCUUCCUCUGUGAGUGCUUCCAGACCCCAGGGGAUGGCUCAUUCCUUCACAUGCACAACAUCUGCUUCUGUUUGCAGACUUGACAAUCCUCCAGGAACUACAGCAAGGUGAUCCUUACCUACUGCCCUGAUGAUCUGAGAUACUUUUUGGAGCCCAACCCCAGAACCAGAGAGCAAACCCUCAGCUGUGACUCCAGGAUGUGCAGCCUACACAAGAACCUCUCAGCUCUUUUGGUCCUCCAGCUCCAGUUCCCAAAACACCCUGUGCUGGGCAGAUCCCAGAAGCUCCAGGAACCUCACAGAAUUCCACAAGAUCCCACUGCAGCACCUUGUGAGCCUGGAGGCCCCAGCACAAGCUGCUGGUUUGGUGGGGAGAAGGAGCUACCCCAGGACCCUGCAAUGUCAGAGAGGAUCACCUGGGGCAGAUCUGCCCAUUCUCUUUGCAGCCACUGGGGAAGACAACAAGAGACUUGUCUAAAAUGAAGCAGCAGCAGAACCUGGAAUGGAAAUUUGCAGCUCUAGCUCUGAUGUCUGAUCUUACCCAUUAAAAAUUCUGGCUCCUACAUGGAUUCAAUAACCUUUGCAGAAAGAAAGAAAAAUGAGAAAAGAGCCUACUUUAUUUGGAAUCAUAUUUUCUCAUGAGUUCUCUGCAGGUCAUCCAGAGAAAGCAGGCCCCAGUGCAUAGGGUGGGGAGCUUAGGAGACCCAGACUCAUUCUUGGUCUUGCACAUCUAUUCCAAGCAGGUCACAGUCUCUGUGGCAGUUUCUUUCCUGAGGAAUAAAGGUACUGCCUUAUUGAGCCA
rnacentral:lncRNA from 1 species